UAGCUUCUUAUACCCGCUCACCAGUCAGGAUAACACAAGGAAGCGCUGCUCCGGGUUGGAGGAUGUGAAGUCAAUUCCCGCUUAUGAGCUCCAGAAAACUACGAUGUGUUAGCUGGUAACAAAAUGCCGACCGGAAGUUCUGCCGUCUGUCUGACUGACCAGAGAUCUCAGGAUGACUCCCUCCAUCGGCGCCAAACAAAAUGCCAUGCACACAUUUAGUGUUUGAGGCGCUAGAUGGUGCUAAAAGACAGCAUUGAAGGUCAUUGCCUUUUCCUCUCUAUUAGCUAGACGCUCAAUUCUAAUUAAAUGGAAGGAUGUAACCCAUCCAUCACACAAAUGGAUCAAAGAUGUGAUGCAGAACAUCAAGCUGGAAAAAAUCAGAUGCACCCUCAACGGCUUCCUUAAGAGUUUUUACAAAACCUGUGACCCAUUAUUAAACUAUGUGAUUAGUCUA